CUGUCUACGAGUACUACAACCAGGUAGAUACUGUUACUGUCUACGAGUACUACAACCCAGGUAGAUACUGUCUACGAGUACUACAACCCAGGUAGAUACUGUCACUGUCUACGAGUACUACAACCAGGUAGAUAGUGUUACUGUCUACGAGUACUACAACCAGGUAGAUACUGUUACUGUCUACGAAUACUACAACCCAGGUAGAUACUGUCUACGAGUACUACAACCCAGGUAGAUACUGUCACUGUCUACGAGUACUACAACCAGGUAGAUACUGUUACUGUCUACGAAUACUACAACCCAGGUAGAUACUGUCUAUGAGUACUACAACCCAGGUAGAUACUGUCACUGUGUACGAGUACUACAACCCAGGUAGAUACUGUCUACAAGUACUACAACCCAGGCAGAUACUGUCACUGUCUACGAGUACUACAACCAGGUAGAUACUGUCACUGUGUACGAGUACUACAAGCCAGGUAGAUACUGUCUACAAGUACUACAACCCAGGUAGAUACUGUCUAUGAGUACUACAACCAGGUAGAUACUGUUACUGUCUACGAAUACUACAACCCAGGUAGAUACUGUCACUGUCUAC